rnacentral:lncRNA from 1 species
AACAUCAUUUAUUUUUGGUACAAGGAAGUCACAAUCACUUGGGCUAUUGGAUGUGAAAUCCAAUAUGUGAAAAGUGUGUCACAACGUUCGAGAAAAUUUAUUUUAGACUUAUGUCCAGAUAAUGAUGGGAAAUGAUCUUGUGCAUCUCUAACACACCGAUGGCUCUAUAAGACCCACCUACUUACUGUCAGAUCUUGUGGUUCCUCGAGAUACAGGUAGAGUUACCUGUUUAACCGGUUAGCGUUUCCCCCCCCCCAACGGUUUGGACAUUGAUGGACAUCUGGCAGUUAGAAGAUAAAAAAGUCUCCUCCUUAGAGGGAGAAAGACGGGCUCCUGGAGGAAGAAGGUUGGCUUUCCUCUUUGUGCUGGUGAUUUUCGGUUAGUUUUGUUAUGAUUUCUAGAGAGAGAACAGUUUGGUUGAGACUUGAGACAGAGGAGAAAGAAUGGUUACCUUACUAGGCUUGGAGGGAGGGGGAUUUGCUUCAAAGAAAUAUAUGGGCUUCUUGCUAGAGAGGGGUGGCAUUUCUAAUCAGACCAAGAAAAUUACUUCUUUGUAGGGAGAAAUGGGGUUUUCGUUGGAGCGAGUGGUAGGGACUUUUAGCAGAAACAUAGUUUCCUGCAAAAUGGUGCCCCUCGCAGACCCCAGCGAAUAUCCCAGCCAGGAUGACUAAUAACAGCCAGCAUCACGUCCAGCGUCUGUAUAGAGCCAAGGGUGGUGCUACUUGAGUGGGGAGGUUGUGGAGGUGGAGGGGGUGGUGGUUCCCAUAAAGAAACUGAUCCUUUCGGCAUUGAUAGAGAGGGAGGGAUUUGAGCUGAGGAACAGAAGGGAAGGGGUUUCAGGCUCAAGUAGAGAUGCAGAGAGGUUGAAAGGAAAGCGGGGCAGGGAAAGAGAGCUAUUAUGCGGAGAUAUUCAGAAAUAGAAAAGAUCUUAAUUUAGGUUUGAGAGAGAUUUGUUUCGAAAAGUCUCUGCUUUGGAGAGAGAGAGAGAGAGAGCUUUGUUUGGCAGAGACUUUACUUUGGAGGGAGAGAGCAUUGUUGUAUGGAGACUUAGCUUGAGAGAGAGAGAGAGAGAGAG